CUUGGGGGAGGCGGAGGCGGCGGCCGUCCAGGCGUCGGGGGCCGCGCUGGUGCUCCGCCGCCGCCGCCUGAAGUGGACAUCGGUGGGGAAGGGCUCGCCAAACUCAUUCACCCGGCUCGAAGAAGCGUACCAACAAUCGAAGAAUCCCCUGUGUGACACUUUCCUUAGUGGUUGUUUUCUUCUACAUUUCUCAGAUAGAAGGUUCUUAAAGCAACUUUUGUUUAGGGUUAUUUUUAUGUUAUGCAGUUUUCAGGCACCCUGAAGGAAAAGAAAGAUUAUUUCCUUAUCAUAGUUUAUUUCGGUUUGGUUUAAAAUUUGGAAGUUUUCUAUAAAAAUUUAAGACAUCCUUUGGAGCUAAGUGUAAUUAAGCAUUGUCUUUUACCCUCCCUCAAACUAAACCCCAAAACCUUGGGUUCGGGUUGGUUUGUGGGGUUUUUUGUUCAAAACGGGGAAAGAUGCAAUGAAAUUUAAAGCCUGUAGACAAGGCAAAAGAAGAUAGAUGGUUGGAAGUUUGGAUUUGCACUUCCGUAAAAAAUUUUAAAGUUCUGUACUUUCUUCCCUCAACUUUGUCACAGCAGAGCACGGGGCAGGAAUCUCCACGCUGGUGGAGCCCCAACUUAGCACACCGUUUGGGCAAGCUGUAAUGGCACAUAACCUCCCAGCCUGGCAUUAUACCCACACGUAUAAACCAUAUUUAAUUUAAGUCUCGGAUGCUUACAUUAAGAUAACUCACCCAUAUUGGCUUUGGGGACUUGGCAAAGCUGCGAUGCUUCCAGGCUUGAGUUGCCUCGUGAUCAGUCACCUCCGACAACGGUGUUGGGUCUUCUCACUGUGUCCAGCCUUAGGGCUGGCGUGAGCCCAGCCACGGCUGCCUGACGGUCCCCCAGUUCUGGGCAGCAGAGGUGUCUCCCUCCUUCCAUCAUGGGUGCGUAGGAGCAGUGAUGUGCCCAUUCUGGUAGGUAUCAUCUAUUGCCGGGAACAGCUCUUCCCAAAAGCCAAACGUGGUUGAAUCUCCAUGCACUUACCUGUUUAUAACCUGGAACAGAUUCAUUUUAAUGCUGCAAAGGGCCUGCACGGUGAUAUCUUUCUAUCCUUGCAGCUAAUUGCUUACUCAUGCAUAUACAUUAAGAAAGAACUCCUCAGAAGAGGAGAAAGACCAAACUAUUCUAAAAUAACUUCAGUCUGCUGGAGCUGCCACGUAAAACCCUGGCUUGCAUGGCCUUUCCUGGCUCAGCAUGAAAGAACGUGGCAUCCCCACCCUUCCCACACUGAACUGUGUCCUGACUGAGUCAGAAAAGCCACUGAGGUCCUUGGACUGCUGGAUGAACAAAAAGAAGAAUCUCACAACAUCAUCGAAUGGCAGCCCAGGCUUCCCUCCAGGCAUGUUUCCUUGCUCUGACUCUUUCCUUCAGGCUUUCCCUGUCUCAUUGUCAAAUAAAUGACUUAACUCGUA